rnacentral:rRNA from 1 species
GACGAACGCUGGCGGCGUGCCUAAUACAUGCAAGUCGAACGAGAGCGACCGGUGCUUGCACUGGUCAAUCUAGUGGCGAACGGGUGAGUAACACGUGGGUAACCUGCCCAUCAGAGGGGGAUAACAUCCGGAAACGGAUGCUAAAACCGCAUAGGUCUUCGAACCGCAUGGUUUGAAGAGGAAAAGAGGCGCAAGCUUCUGCUGAUGGAUGGACCCGCGGUGCAUUAGCUAGUUGGUGAGGUAACGGCUCACCAAGGCCGGGAUGCAUAGCCGACCUGAGAGGGUGAUCGGCCACAUUGGGACUGAGACACGGCCCAAACUCCUACGGGAGGCAGCAGUAGGGAAUCUUCCGCAAAGGACGCAAGUCUGACGGAGCAACGCCGCGUGAGUGAAGAAGGUUUUCGGAUCGUAAAACUCUGUUGUUAGAGAAGAACAAGUGCUAGAGUAACUGUUAGCGCCUUGACGGUAUCUAACCAGAAAGCCACGGCUAACUACGUG